rnacentral:misc_RNA from 1 species
ACACCCCACAUCCAAAAAUUUAUUUUUUUUUUAGAUAGAUUUUUGCUGAUGGAAUUGAGAGUACUUUUACGGUUGACAUUUAUUUGUUCGCCGUUCUCUUUAAAAAUAUUAGGCCUGAAAUUUUAGUUUUUUAAAUUUGCCUGAACUUUUUUUUUAAUAUAAAGGAAAAGCUCUAGGUUCAAAUGUUUUAAAAAAAAGCUUAUUAUUUAGGGGCCUCCCAUAAAUAAAACCUUUCUUAA